AUUUUAGUAAAAGUAUGUCCCAUUCUAUAUUUGGGGUAUACUUAUGCUAAAA
rfam:Myotis lucifugus cont2.2054, whole genome shotgun sequence.